rnacentral:rRNA from 1 species
GAUGAGCGCUGGCGGCGUGCCUAAUACAUGCAAGUCGAGCGAACGGACGAGAAGCUUGCUUCUCUGAUGUUAGCGGCGGACGGGUGAGUAACACGUGGAUAACCUACCUAUAAGACUGGGAUAACUUCGGGAAACCGGAGCUAAUACCGGAUAAUAUUUUGAACCGCAUGGUUCAAAAGUGAAAGACGGUCUUGCUGUCACUUAUAGAUGGAUCCGCGCUGCAUUAGCUAGUUGGUAAGGUAACGGCUUACCAAGGCAACGAUGCAUAGCCGACCUGAGAGGGUGAUCGGCCACACUGGAACUGAGACACGGUCUAGACUCCUACGGGAGGCAGCAGUAGGGAAUCUUCCGCAAUGGGCGAAAGCCUGACGGAGCAACGCCGCGUGAGUGAUGAAGGUCUUCGGAUCGUAAAACUCUGUUAUUAGGGAAGAACAUAUGUGUAAGUAACUGUGCACAUCUUGACGGUACCUAAUCAGAAAGCCACGGCUAACUACGUG